rnacentral:rRNA from 1 species
GCGUAAUAGCUCACUGGUCGAGUCGGCCUGCGCGGAAGAUGUAACGGGGCUAAACCAUGCACCGAAGCUGCGGCAGCGACACUAUGUGUUGUUGGGUAGGGGAGCGUUCUGUAAGCCGUCGAAGGUGUGCUGUGAGGCAUGCUGGAGGUAUCAGAAGUGCGAAUGCUGACAUAAGUAACGAUAAACAAGGUGAAAAACCUUGUCGCCGG